AAGCAGUGGGAGCACAGAGCAAUCUGUGUGACUGCGUACCUUUUGUAUAAUGGGUCAGCGACUUAUAUUCUGUAGCAAGGUUAACCGAAUAGGGGAGCCGAAGGGAAACCGAGUCUUAACUGGGCGUUAAGUUGCAGGGUAUAGACCCGAAACCCGGUGAUCUAGCCAUGGGCAGGUUGAAGGUUGGGUAACACUAACUGGAGGACCGAACCGACUAAUGUUGAAAAAUUAGCGGAUGACUUGUGGCUGGGGGUGAAAGGCCAAUCAAACCGGGAGAUAGCUGGUUCUCCCCGAAAGCUAUUUAGGUAGCGCCUCGUGAAUUCAUCUCCGGGGGUAGAGCACUGUUUCGGCAAGGGGGUCAUCCCGACUUACCAACCCGAUGCAAACUGCGAAUACCGGAGAAUGUUAUCACGGGAGACACACGGCGGGUGCUAACGUCCGUCGUGAAGAGGGAAACAACCCAGACCGCCAGCUAAGGUCCCAAAGUCAUGGUUAAGUGGGAAACGAUGUGGGAAGGCCCAGACAGCCAGGAUGUUGGCUUAGAAGCAGCCAUCAUUUAAAGAAAGCGUAAUAGCUCACUGGUCGAGUCGGCCUGCGCGGAAGAUGUAACGGGGCUAAACCAUGCACCGAAGCUGCGGCAGCGACACUGUGUGUUGUUGGGUAGGGGAGCGUUCUGUAAGCCUGUGAAGGUGUGCUGUGAGG
rnacentral:rRNA from 1 species